rnacentral:sRNA from 1 species
UGUAUCUGAAGCCUGACGAGGAUGAGAACCUCCGGGGGUAAGAGGUUCGACUCGAGCGAAGCGAGAGAACGUUGCGCCAGCAACGGCCCGCAGAGUGAGCCACGCAGUGGCGAGUCAUCCUCUAUCACCGACCA